rnacentral:lncRNA from 13 species
AUGGAGGUUGAACAAGCCCCGGCCAACAGGAAGCCGCAGCUACUUUCUCAUAAGGCCCUUCCCACUGAGCUUCUGAGAGGCUCCAGCUUGAGUUCAUUAAAGGCAGAGGGCACGCCCCCAAAGAGCCCCAAAUGCUUAAUGAACCCUCAGACCCCAGCCAGCGGCAAGGAAAACAUUGUCUUGACAGGAGAAAAUUCUGGCAUCAAAGUGAACACCAGUAAACUGACAGGUAGUAAUCUGCAAAGCACAGGUAAAGCAGGGUCUAAACCAAUUUCACCAGCAAAGAAACAAAGCAAGUUAUCCGUAUCGAAACCUAGCACUCCUACACACAGCCAGAUCCAGAUAUCUGUGUCUAAACCCAGCGCUCCAAAACAUGGUCAAAACAAACUGUCUGGAUCUAAACCCAGCACUCCAAAACAUGGUCAAAACAAACCUUCUGAAUCUAAACCCAGCACUCCAAAACAUGGUCAAAACAAACUGUCUGAAUCUAAACCCAGCACUCCAAAACAUGGUCAAAACAAACUGUCUGAAUCUAAACCCAGCACUCCAAAACAUGGUCAAAACAAACUGUCUGAAUCUAAACCCAGCACUCCAAAACAUGGUCAAAACAAACUGUCUGAAUCUAAACCCAGCACUCCAAAACAUGGUCAAAACAAACUGUCUGAAUCUAAACCCAGCACUCCAAAACAUGGUCAAAGUAAGCUGUCUGAGAUGAAUAAAGGUACAGAGAUUAAAGGUAAAGGCCCUGUAAAAGUUCAAGGUAAAGAGGCUUUCAAAGACAAGAAAUCUAAAAUUACAGCAGAAGAUACUAAAACAAUUGAAGUUCAAAAUAAACCACUUCAAGAGAUCGUGUCCCCUCCAGUCAAAGUUAAAGGUAAACCUGUGGAAAAGGAAACAACUCCAAUUAACGCUACUGCUGAAACCAUUCCUUUGAAAGUAAAGAGCAUUCCCAAGAAGAUUGUAGAUGAUAACAAACCAUCUGAAUGUAAAGGCACUCCAAUAAAAGGAAAAAAGAAGGCAAAAGAGGUGAAUGAAGAGAAGAUGGAAGAGUCUAUUACUUUCAACGAGUCAGGGACAACAGUGGGGAACAAAAUGGCAGUUAAAGAUAAAGGCAAAGAAAAAGAAAGUGCACCCACCAAAACAAAAAAUGUGCCCAAACCAAAAGAUGUUGAAGCGAAACUAACUGAGUUAGAGGGAGCCCCAGUGAAACUGAAAAGCAAGCCAACAGAGGUUUCCAGCCAAGCAGUCUUAGUAGAACCUACCUCAAAGGCCAAAUCACCAGUCACAUCACUCUCAUUAUCAGAUGCACUACCUCAAAAUGCUGGAGAUAAGAAGUCAACAAAGUCACUUGUUGUCUGUCAGGUCAGGGAUAGAGUGGAGGUCCCAGGGGAAGAUGCCUUUGAUGAAUCCCAGGAGGGGAAGCCUAGCUGGGGAGGAUUUCUCAGCGAUGCAGCCUCUCUCCUUACAGAUGUGGGGAUGGCGGGGACAGCCAUGGGGGUCCUGAGUGAGGCGGUGACCAGCGUGAGGGGGAUUCAGUCGGAGAGUGACACAGACACUUCUAUCCCUCCUCGGCGGUCCAGCCGGGUAGAGAGGUUCACCAAACAGAGCGCCAUCACCCAGCCUUCCUCCACAUCACCCUCUUCUUCAACAUCAGAUCCAAGCACAGCUGAGCAAAGUAAGAGGACUGACACCCGCAUCAGCACCCUCAGGAAUUCUGAUCGGGAAGUGGGGAGCAGGAUUUUUGAGAAGGACCCAGAAACCACAGAGGCUGCUAGCGAGAGGUCAGGAGGUCAGGCCAAGGUCGAUUAUGAUGAGAACUCUAGUAGUCAAAGUUCGGGAGCUGAGGAUGAUGAAGAUAAAGAGUCCACAAAGAGACAUGGAGAUGGGACAGAAAUGGAGAGCACCAAACAAGAGGAAAAAGAGGAUUACAGAAGUGUUAAGGGUCUGGAAGAUAACAGUGAAGACAGUGAUACUGUGGCCAGCGGAGAGGGAGAGGAGGGUAGAGAAGAAAAGAGUGAAGACAGCGAGGGCGCGGAAGAAGAAAAGAGUGAAGAGAGCGAGGGCGCAGAGGCAGAAGAAAAGAGUGAAGACAGCGAGGGCGCGGAAGAAGAAAAGAGUGAAGACAGCGAGGGCGCAGAGGCAGAAGAAAAGAAUGAAGACAGCGAGGGCGCGGAAGAAGAAAAGAGUGAAGAGAGUGAGGGCGCAGAGGCAGAAGAAAAGAGUGAAGAGAGUGAGGGCGCGGAAGAAGAAAAGAGUGAAGAGAGUGAGGGCGCGGAAGAAGAAAAGAAUGAAGAGAGCGAGGGCGCGGAAGAAGAAAAGAGUGAAGAGGAUGCGGAGGCGGAAGAAGAAGAAACGAGUGAUAGUGUGGGGACAGGAGGGGGGGAGGAGGAAGACGAGAGGUGUGAGAGUGAGGGGACAGGAGGGGGGGAGGAGGAAGCCGAGAUGUGUGAGAGUGAGGGGACAGGAGAGUGGGAACAGGGAGAGAAGAGUGAUAGUGAUGUGACUAUAAAGGGGGAGGAGGAAGAAGAGAAAAUUGAUGAGGGCACAGUACAGGGGGAGGAGAAAGAAGAGAAGAGUGAUAGUGAGGGGACAAGUGAUGGGGAGGAGAGCAAAGAGAGUGAUUCUGAGGCAAGCCUAGAGGAGGAGGGAGACGAGACGAGUGCACAGAGUGAGGGGGAAGGAGAAGAGGGCGAAAGUGGUUCUGGGACAAGUAGAGAGGAGGAGAUGAGUGAAGAAGAGUCCAGUGAUGAAGAGAGUGGGGAUAAAGAGGAAGAGGAGGAG